GUCCUCGUGGAUCAGUCGGUAGAUCCUCCACUUCGUGUAGCCUUCAUAAAUACGAUUCUGUGGACGCGGUGGGUUCGACUCCCACCGAGGACC